rnacentral:lncRNA from 1 species
CUCUCUCUCUCGACUCUCGUCUCUCGCACAGUGACUCCCACCAUUGAAGCACAAAGCACUCACCCACCGACCACCGCUCCUUCCCCGCCCCUGCAGCCAAUCGUUUGUGCAUGACCCUGACUGCCUCUCUUUAGUCUUUCACAUGCACCAGCCAGUCGACCACCUGGACCGCCUCCAUGCGAGAUGCGACUGCAACAACCGACGCAAGUGCCGACGAGCUGUCAAUCUCUUCGGCAAUUACUCAGGGGCGGACUCCGGUUCUACUGACUUGAAGGUUAGAAGCUUUACAUUUACUCAAAUUUUUUCUUUGAAUUCUUCUCCAUAACCGUAAUUGCUCUGCUGCCUCUGCAGUGGUUAGUUCUAUUUCUAAAUUUGGAUUUAUGUACAAUACAAUUAAUCAAUUAUGAUUCUAGAACCUGCCCAAUAAAUGUAAUUUAGAGAUUUCUGAUUUAGGGCUUUGAUUUAGGAAAUUGACCCUUUUCUGAUUUAGGGCUUUGUUACUUAUUUAUAUGUAAAUUGAUAAUAUUGAUUUGGGAAGAUUGAAACUCUGUCUUACUUUUGGUAGGUAUGACAUAGUAUAAACUGAUUUAGGCAUUUCUAAUCUUGUUGAUUUUUCAUUUUUGGUUGGUUUGUUUCAGUUAUGGAAAAAUACUUUAAACAUACAUCU